rnacentral:piRNA from 1 species
UAGAAUGGAGCCUGAAUAGAAGUCUUGGA